rnacentral:rRNA from 1 species
UUAACCGGAUUAGAUACCCUGGUAGUCCACGCCGUAAACGAUGGGUGCUAGUUGUCAGGCAGCAUGCUGUUUGGCGACGCAGCUAACGCGUUAAGCACCCCGCCUGGGGACUACGGUCGCAAGACUAAAACUCAAAGGAAUUGACGGGGGCCCGCACAAGCGGUGGAGCAUGUGGUUUAAUUCGAGGCAACGCGAAGAACCUUACCAGCUUUUGACAUCCCGGUCGCGGUUACCAGAGAUGGUUUCCUUCAGUUCGGCCGGACCGGUGACAGGUGCUGCAUGGUUGUCGUCAGCUCGUGUCGUGAGAUGUUGGGUUAAGUCCCGCAACGAGCGCAACCCUCGCCUUUAGUUGCCAGCAUUUAGUUGGGCACUCUAGAGGGACUGCCGGUGAUAAGCCGGAGGAAGGUGGGGAUGACG